rnacentral:rRNA from 1 species
CUACUGGGGUAUCUAAUCCUGUUUGCUCCCCACACUUUCGCACCUCAGCGUCAGUAUCGAGCCAGUGAGCCGCCUUCGCCACUGGUGUUCCUCCGAAUAUCUACGAAUUUCACCUCUACACUCGGAAUUCCACUCACCUCUCUCGAACUCAAGACAUCCAGUAUCAAAGGCAGUUCCAAGGUUGAGCCCUGGGAUUUCACCUCUGACUUAAAUGUCCGCCUACGCGCGCUUUACGCCCAGUAAUUCCGAACAACGCUAGUCCCCUCCGUAUUACCGCGGCUGCUGGCAC